rnacentral:rRNA from 1 species
UACGUAGGGGGCUAGCGUUGUCCGGAUUUAUUGGGCGUAAAGAGCGUGUAGGCGGCCAGGUAGGUCCGCUGUGAAAACUCGAGGCUCAACCUCGAGAUGUCGGCGGAAACCAUCUGGCUAGAGUCCGGAAGAGGAGAGUGGAAUUCCUGGUGUAGCGGUGAAAUGCGCAGAUAUCAGGAAGAACACCCGUAGCGAAGGCGGCACUCUGGGCCGAUACUGACACUGAGGAGCGAAAGCGUGGGGAGCGAACAGG